GCCUUCGUGGUAUAGUGUCAACACUCUCGGCAAGUAUUCAAGAGAUCCGUGGUUCGAGUCCCGGCGAGGGCU
rnacentral:tRNA from 1 species